rnacentral:rRNA from 1 species
ACGUAGGUGGCAAGCGUUUUCCGGAAUUACUGGGCGUAAAGGGUCCGUAGGCGGUUUGGUAAGUCUUCUGUGAAAGCUCCAGGCUCAACUUGGAGUCGUCGGGAGAAACUGCUGAACUAGAGACUGUCAGAGGCAGGUGGAAUUCCCGGUGUAGUGGUGAAAUACGUAGAUAUCGGGAGGAACACCAGUGGCGAAAGCGGCCUGCUGGGGCAGUUCUGACGCUAAGGGACUAAAGCGUGGGGAGCGAACCGG